rnacentral:lncRNA from 1 species
AGAUAUUUUCUUCCCCUGCUUUUAGUUUAUCCUUGAUAUGUUCAUCUUAACCGAUGACGGAUAUUCUCUUUUUGGUAUUCUAGCCAGUAAAAAGGUAGUUAUAAUCCCUAUUUGUUUCUAGAGAGUUAAUCUCUGAUAUGUUCAUCCUAACCGAUGAUGGGUUUCCUUCUCUUUGCGGUCUUCUACCCAGUAACCGGUAGUUGUAAGUCCUGCUUUUG